CAUAUGUGAUGUCAUAUGUGAAUCAUAAAGAUUUAGAGCUGGAUGGAAACUUAAAGAACUUCUCAUCUAAUCUCUUAUUUUAUAGGUGAAAAGACCAAAUUUCAGAGACAGGAAGUGAUUUGCCAGAGUUCCCACAGCAUUUCAGAGCGAGGAGAGAACACAGAUUUGAUUGCUACCCCGGCUCUGUCUAUUCUCUUAUAGAGAUAUAAUUAGUACGGAAAGGGAGUAUUUGCCAAAUGGCAAAUUAAUGGUACAGGCGAGGCGUGCUCCUUCCUAUAACGUGUUUACGAGUUCAAGUUUAAAUGCUAGCUAACAAAAACUUUUUCUGGGGAAUUUUCAGGUGCAAAGGGACUUUCCAGUUGUCUCUUCAGCUGCUUUAGCACGAAAACAGAAAAUGGCCCAGUCUGUUCUCUCUCAGUGCACCUGUGCCACCUCCAUCAUCCACCUCACAUGUGAUCUUGAUAUGUCAGAUCAGUAGUUCUGAAAGUGUGUGGUCUCCAGGCCAGCACCUGGAAACUAUGCAAAUUCUUGGGCCUCCUCUAGGCCCACUGAAUCAGAAGCUCAGGGGAUGGGCCCAGGGAACCUGUGUUUUUACAAGCCAUCCAGGUAACUCCUGUACUUUGGAGUUUGAGAACUCCUGGUCUACACACAGCUCUCCAUGGAGAUCGCGAACCCCUGGAAGGCAGGGACCAUGUCCU
rnacentral:lncRNA from 1 species